GAACGCACAUUGCGCCCCUUGGUAUUCCGGGGGGCAUGCCUGUUCGAGCGUCAUUAUAACCCUCAAGCCUAGCUUGGUGUUGGAGCAUGCUACCCAAGCAGCUCUUAAAAUCAGUGGCAGUGCCCUUCGGCUCUAAGCGUAGUAACUUCUCUCGCUAUGGAACCCGGAGGGUACGCGCCAGAACCCCCAACUUUCUAUGGUUGACCUCGGAUCAGGUAGGGAUACCCGCUGAACUUAAG
rnacentral:misc_RNA from 1 species